UGGAGAAGGCCUUGGCCUACAGAGCUGCAGUCUAAUCUCCCAUAGAAGGCCUCUCUGCACUCCCAGCUACAACCACCACCAAGCCCAAGCCUGCUGCCCAUCAAGCCAAGGACACCCACCUGGAAUCAGCUGGAACUCCCGCCUUUGUCUCCUGAACCCAGGCUAGAUCCAGCCUUUGGGGGCCCAGAUUCUGUUCUCAGCUCUUCCAAGACUUCCUGAGGUGCCUGGGUGUCCAAGAACCUGGGAACCACAUGGCCCCAGCCACUUCACAGGCCCAGGGACACUGAUCCACAAAAGUGAGAUCAAUAUCAAUUACCAAUACCAAUAUCAAUAUCAUCACUCACAGAUGAAGGAACUGUAACUGGCUGAAGUUGCUCAAGGACAGACAUGGAAAAUUGACAUCAUGCAGAUUGGAAACACAGGUCCUACCUUCAAGUUCCUGCUUUGUGUUCCUGCCAAGGAGUCCUCCCAUGAUCACAUGCAAACCAGAAGGCAAAUAAAAAACUCUAUGGUUUCUAAGUUGAUUUU
rnacentral:lncRNA from 1 species